UACAGAGGGGGCAAGCGUUGUUCGGAAUUACUGGGCGUAAAGGGCGCGUAGGCGGCCUUCUAAGUCGAACGUGAAAUCCCCGGGCUCAACCCGGGAACUGCGUCCGAGACUGAAAGGCUAGAAUCCGGGAGAGGGAUGUGGAAUUCCGGGUGUAGCGGUGAAAUGCGUAGAUAUCUGGAGGAACAUCGGUGGCGAAGGCGGCAUCCUGGACCGGUAUUGACGCUGAGGCGCGAAAGCCAGGGGAGCAAACGGG
rnacentral:rRNA from 1 species